rnacentral:rRNA from 1 species
UCCAGACUCCUACGGGAGGCAGCAGUGAGGAAUAUUGGUCAAUGGGCUUACGCCUGAACCAGCCAAGUCGCGUGAGGGAAGACUGCCCUAUGGGUUGUAAACCUCUUUUGUCAGGGAGCAAUUGGCGCUACGUGUAGCGUUAUCGAGAGUACCUGAAGAAAAAGCAUCGGCUAACUCCGUGCCAGCAGCCGCGGUAAUACGGAGGAUGCGAGCGUUAUCCGGAUUUAUUGGGUUUAAAGGGUGCGUAGGCCGGCUUUUAAGUCAGCUGUGAAAGUCCGCGGCUCAACCGUGGAAUUGCAGUUGAAACUGGAGGCCUUGAGUGCACACAGGGAUGCCGGAAUUCAUGGUGUAGCGGUGAAAUGCUUAGAUAUCACGCAGAACUCCGAUUGCGAAGGCAGCAUACCGGCGCCCGACUGACGCUGAGGCACGAAAGCGUGGGGAUCGAACAGGAUUAGAUACCCCUGUA